rnacentral:lncRNA from 1 species
GGGAUGCACCAGGUCCUCUGCAGGUGCUUCCAAUAGAUGCCGCAAGCUGCCCUCACGAGCAGCAGCUGCUGGGGAGCAGGAGAUUAUUUAGGUGGGCUUCCAGGGGGCCCUGUAACCGUAGGGUUGAGCUUGGGUGGUGCUGCUGGUGGGUGUUUGCUGCCUUUAGAUGGGGGCUCCUGUCCUGGCUCUCUCUGUCAGGUCUGAUGUUCUUCACUUGUCAGAAUCUCCAAAGUAGCAGCCCUCUUGAAUUAGAGGGUAAAGAGCAGCAAGUAGGAAAAACCUAUUUCCAAGGUUCGCCAUGCGUUGUGAGCAGAGAAGAGCCAAGGCGUUGGACACUGUCAAUGAAUCUGUGUUGCAACAGAAGCCACUUCUGUCUGCGUGCACAGCUGCUACACUUCUAACCCAGCUGUCAGGUCCAGUGCUAAUUUUUGCCAAAAGUGAAAGAGAGAGUGAAAAAUCAUUAAUUCAAUUUCUCACUGUUUUGCCUCUGGUGAUUGCUGUCACUUCAGAGGCUAAUAGUUGUUCUACUGAUAGAUGAAGAGGGUAAGAGACAAAAAUUUCUGAGCACUGGCAUUCUUCUGAAUGUUUUUGUCUUGCUGCUUUGAUGACAGCUGUCUUGCAGAGUCAGAGUCUAGUCUGGGACCAACAGUUAGCACUCUUGUCAACAUGGAUAAUGUAAGGGGUAAAUUGUAUUUGAAC